rnacentral:rRNA from 1 species
ACGCUCGACACCUACGGGAGGCAGCAGUGGGGAAUAUUGGGCAAUGGGCGCAAGCCUGACCCAGCAACGCCGCGUGAAGGAAGAAGGCCCUCGGGUUGUAAACUUCUUUUGUCAGGGACGAAGCAAGUGACGGUACCUGACGAAUAAGCCACGGCUAACUACGUACCAGCAGCCGCGGUAAUCUGAGCGGGCUGGCAAGGC